UCUAAAGAGACUCAAACUUCCUCCUUCAGUUCAGCUCAACUCUCCAACAGUAACUCUGAUCAACAUGCUGUCUCUGCUCACAUCUGGAUUCACUCUGCUGGUUCUGAUCUCUGGAUCAGGUGUAAACUGUCAACAACUCACUGCAGGAAAGACUGAGGAGUUCAGUUCAGAGGGCAGCUCUGUUACUCUGACCUGCAGUUACUCCAACAAGAUAGCUCUUGGUGAUGAUUUCUUUUGGUAUCGACAAAAUCCUGGAAAACCUCCAGAGUUCAUCUUGUACAUCUCAGGACUCAACAACUCAAGAUCAGCAGAGUCUCUGAAAUCAUUAACGAGAUUCUCCACUUACCUGAGAGGAGAGAAACAGAUGGACCUGCUGAUCUCCUCUGCUGCAGUGACAGACUCUGCUGUGUACUACUGCGCUGUGAGGCCCACAGUGACAGGAAACACCAGAACCCUGUACAAGAACCUGCAGUACUCCACAGCAGCCACUAGAGGGCCUCACUCCCUGUUAAUCCACGGGUUUUUGAGUCUGUGAAGACAAACAGUGGCAUCAUGUUGCGACUGAACUUGGUGCAGAAAUACUCCAAGAAGUCUGCAGACAUGAGUAACGCCUGACAUUCUGCAUCCCAGAGCUUGAGAGACUUUCUAAAAUAUGAGAUCUUUAACUGUUGUCAUGGAAAAAAUACUAUUUCCAAGCACUGUUCAGGUAUAAUCACUCAAUCAGGUUAAUUCUUAUAUUGUGCACAAUACAGAGAGCUUGUAGGACAAUCAGUAAUGAAGCAGGUCUGGAUGAAAAGCUCUGCUAGGCAGAGAAACACCAGAGUUUUAUACCAGAGAUAAAGAAUUAACAACAAGUGGAGAGACAGUCUGGUUCUGAUGCAGCUGUAGAAAAACAACU